UACGUAGGAGACGAGCGUUGUCCGGAAUUACUGGGCGUAAAGCGCGUGUAGGCGGAUGAGCAAGUCUGCUGUGAAAGCUCCUGGCUUAACCGGGAGUGGUCGGUGGAAACUGCUCGUCUGGAGGACGGUAGAGGUAGGUAGAAUUCCCGGUGUAGUGGUGAAAUGCGUAGAGAUCGGGAGGAAUACCUGUGGCGAAGGCGGCCUACUGGGCCGGACCUGACGCUGAGGAGCGAAAGUGUGGGGAGCGAACAGG
rnacentral:rRNA from 1 species